rnacentral:rRNA from 1 species
GAUCUAGCUCAGGAUGAACGCUAGCUACAGGCUUAACACAUGCAAGUCGAGGGGCAGCAUGGUCUUAGCUUGCUAAGGCCGAUGGCGACCGGCGCACGGGUGAGUAACGCGUAUCCAACCUGCCUUACACUCUUGGACAGCCUUCUGAAAGGGAGAUUAAUACAAGAUGUUAUCAUGAGUAAGCAUUUUCGCAUGAUUAAAGGUUUACCGGUGUAAGAUGGGGAUGCGUUCCA